rnacentral:rRNA from 1 species
GAUGAACGCUGGCGGCGUGCUUAACACAUGCAAGUCGAGCGGGCAAUUUAUCUAGCACUGAUUACUUCAAAUGGAAAUCAUAAGUGUAAUCAUGAAUUUCUACCUUUAAUAAAGAAAAAGAAAUUCAUGUACGCAAAUAGUGAUAACACAUUUUAGUGGAGUGAUGAGUGCUGGAUAAAUUGCUAGCGGCGGACGGGUGCGUAACACGUGGGUAACCUGCCCCUAUCACUGGGAUAACACACUGAAAAGUGUGCUAAUACCAGAUAAUAUAAGCUUUUGGCAUCAUUAGCUUAUCAAAGAAUUUCGGAUAGGGAUGGGCCCGCGUCUGAUUAGCUAGUUGGUGAGGUAACGGCUCACCAAGGCAACGAUCAGUAGCCGACCUGAGAGGGUGAUCGGCCACACUGGAACUGAGACACGGUCCAGACUCCUACGGGAGGCAGCAGUGAGGAAUAUUGGUCAAUGGACGCAAGUCUGAA